rnacentral:lncRNA from 1 species
AGGCCGGAGGGAGGGACUGGGAAGCAGGGAAGGAGCUCUGGUAGGAUUUAACAUGUCAAAAAAGAAAAGGUUUUAAGGGAACUUUUUGCAAUAUUUACAAAAAAGGACCUAUGUGCAGCAAACAUAAGCAAAUUGGAAUGCACUUGAAUUAGGUUAGCAAAGAAAGCUAGUUGAUUAGUUUUAUUAAAUUCUUCCAUAC